rnacentral:rRNA from 1 species
UACGAAGGGGGCUAGCGUUGCUCGGAAUUACUGGGCGUAAAGGGCGCGUAGGCGGACAUUUAAGUUAGAGGUGAAAGCCCAGGGCUCAACCCUGGAAUAGCCUUUAAUACUGGAUGUCUUGAGUUCGGGAGAGGUGAGUGGAACUCCGAGUGUAGAGGUGAAAUUCGUAGAUAUUCGCAAGAACACCAGUGGCGAAGGCGGCUCACUGGCCCGAUACUGACGCUGAUGCACGAAAGCGUGGGGAGCAAACAGG